UACCUCAGUAACGGCGAGUGAAGCGGUAACAGCUCAAAUUUGAAAUCUGGGUCUUUCAGGCUCCGAGUUGUAAUUUGUAGAAGAUGCUUCGGGUGCGGCUCCGGUCUAAGUUCCUUGGAACAGGACGUCACAGAGGGUGAGAAUCCCGUAUGUGAUCGGUUGCUUGCGCCCAUGUGAAGCUCUUUCGACGAGUCGAGUUGUUUGGGAAUGCAGCUCUAAAUGGGUGGUAAAUUUCAUCUAAAGCUAAAUAUUGGCCAGAGACCGAUAGCGCACAAGUAGAGUGAUCGAAAGAUGAAAAGCACUUUGGAAAGAGAGUUAAACAGUACGUGAAAUUGUUGAAAGGGAAGCGCUUGCAACCAGACUUGCGCGUUGUCGAUCAUCCGAGGUUCUCCUCGGUGCACUCGAUCUCGCUCAGGCCAGCAUCGGUUUCAGUGGUUAGAUAAAGGCCUUGGGAAUGUAGCUUCUUUCGGGGAGUGUUAUAGCCCUCGGUGCAAUGUAGCCUACUGGGACCGAGGACCGCGCUUCGGCUAGGAUGCUGGCGUAAUGGUUGUAAGCGACCCGUCUUGAAACACGGACCAAGGAGUCUAACAUCUAUGCGAGUGUUUGGGUGCCAAACCCAUACGCGUAAUGAAAGUGAACGGAGGUGAGAACCCUUAAGGGUGCAUCAUCGACCGAUCCUGAUGUCUUCGGAUGGAUUUGAGUAAGAGCAUAGCUGUUGGGACCCGAAAGAUGGUGAACUAUGCCUGAAUAGGGUGAAGCCAGAGGAAACUCUGGUGGAGGCUCGCAGCGGUUCUGACGUGCAAAUCGAUCGUCAAAUUUGGGUAUAGGGGCGAAAGACUAAUC
rnacentral:rRNA from 1 species